rnacentral:lncRNA from 1 species
AUGACAACUGGGUCCUUAUCACAUUUUCCUUCCCUUUCCAGCCUCAUUUCGGUCUUCUCCGUUCUGUUUGUAUUUGCCAGCACCCUCGUCCAGCCAGCCCUGUGUUGCCUUCAUCUUCUCCAGUUACCCAGGGAGACCCAAAAGUUGUCUCUUCUCCGAGUAGGGAACCAGUGGAAUGGAUCCCUGAAACUCAGUGAACAUAGCGUUGCUUCACUCCAGCAUUUCCAUGCACACGAGCAUUCUGUUACCUCUGACACAAUUGCAUCUGAAUUGCUGAUGGAGCGAGCCAACUUCAAAUGCCCAUUGAUGGAAUCUUUGAAUGGAGACAGAUGCAGACUCAAAAGUUUGCAUGCCAACACAGAAAAGCAGCCUCCACACUUCUUAGGAUUCAAUUUGAAAAUUUCGGUUAAUUAAUUUUAGCCUAAAUAACUCUGACAAUGUGGAAAAUUCAUUAUGCAGUUUAUCAGAAGAGAUGCAUAAGCCACUCCUCAGGAAAAUUCCUUAAAAUGUUCCUUUUUCUCUUAAGCAUUUUGAUUCUCAGAGUAACCUUUCCUAUCUUUACACUUGGAUGGAAGUAGAAGAACAGUAUGACAGAUUAGAGCCAAAGUAUUUAUCCGGAACAGACAUUUUCGAGUCUUUGUAAGACUAAGUGCAACUCCCACUGGAGUUCAUUUUUCGUGGUUUUGUAUAACGUUAGAAAACAGCAUGGGGGCGCCCGGGUGACUCAGUCGGUUGGGCAUCCGACUUCGGCUCAGGCCAUGAUCUCACAGUCCGUGGGUUUGAGCCCCGCGUCGGGCUCUGUGCUGACAGCUCGGAGGCCGGAGCCUGCUUCAGAUUCUGUGUCUCCCUCUCUCUCUGCCCCUUCUUGGCUCACACUCUGUCUCUCUCUCUCAAAAAUAAAUAAACAUUAAAAACAAUUUAAUAAAAAAAU